rnacentral:rRNA from 1 species
UACGGAGGGUGCAAGCGUUGCUCGGAAUUACUGGGCGUAAAGGGCGCGUAGGCGGUCCGAUAAGUCCCGUGUGAAAUCCCUCGGCUCAACUGAGGAAUGGCACGGGAAACUGCCGGGCUUGAGUUCGGGAGAGGGAAGCGGAAUUCCGGGUGUAGCGGUGAAAUGCGUAGAUAUCCGGAGGAACACCGGUGGCGAAGGCGGCUUCCUGGACCGACACUGACGCUGAGGCGCGAAAGCUAGGGGAGCAAACAGG